GAUGAAGAACGCAGCGAAAUGCGAUAAGUAAUGUGAAUUGCAGAACUCAGUGAAUCAUCGAAUCUUUGAACGCACAUUGCGCCCCCUGGCUUUCCGGGGGGCAUGCCUGUCCGAGCGUCAUUGCUGCCCUCAAGCACGGCUUGUGUGUUGGGCCUCCGUCCUCCUCCCGGGGGACGGGCCCGAAAGGCAGCGGCGGCACCGCGUCCGGUCCUCGAGCGUAUGGGGCUUCGUCACCCGCUCUUGUAGGCCCGGCCGGCGCUUGCCGACACAUCAAUCUUUUUUCCAGGUUGACCUCGGAUCAGGUAGGGAUACCCGCUGAACUUAAGCAUAUCAAUAAGCGGAGGA
rnacentral:misc_RNA from 1 species